AACGAACGCUGGCGGCAUGCCUAACACAUGCAAGUCGAACGAAGCCUUCGGGCUUAGUGGCGCACGGGUGCGUAACGCGUGGGAAUCUGCCCUUGGGUCUGGAAUAACAGUUAGAAAUGACUGCUAAUACCGGAUGAUGACUUCGGUCCAAAGAUUUAUCGCCCAAGGAUGAGCCCGCGUCGGAUUAGCUAGUUGGUGAGGUAAAAGCUCACCAAGGCGACGAUCCGUAGCUGGUCUGAGAGGAUGAUCAGCCACACUGGGACUGAGACACGGCCCAGACUCCUACGGGAGGCAGCAGUGGGGAAUAUUGGGCAAUGGGCGAAAGCCUGAUCCAGCAAUGCCGCGUGAGUGAUGAAGACCUUAGGGUUGUAAAGCUCUUUUACCCGGGAUGAUAAUGACAGUACCGGGAGAAUAAGCUCCGGCUAACUCCGUGCCAGCAGCCGCCGUAACAC
rnacentral:rRNA from 1 species